AGUGAACGCUGGCGGCGUGCUUAACACAUGCAAGUCGAACGAGAACGGAUUAUAGCUUGCUAUAAUUGUCAGCUAAGUGGCGCACGGGUGAGUAAUAUAUAGAUAACCUGCCCUCUAGAAAGGAAUAACAGUUGGAAACGACUGCUAAUGCCCUAUAUGCCUUUAAUACAUAAGUAUGCAAGGGAAACGCUUUAGUGCUAGAGGAUGGGUCUGUAUGGUAUCAGCUUGUUGGUGAGGUAAUGGCUCACCAAGGCUAUGACGCCUAACUGGUUUGAGAGGAUGAUCAGUCGAACUGGAACUGAGACACGGUCCAGACUCCUACGGGAGGCAGCAGUGGGGAAUAUUGCACAAUGGACGAAAGUCUGAUGCAGCAACGCCGCGUGGAGGAUGACACAUUUCGGUGCGUAAACUCCUUUUAUAUAGGAAGAUAAUGACGGUACUAUAUGAAUAAGCACCGGCUAACUCCGUGCCAGCCGCCGCCGUAACAC
rnacentral:rRNA from 1 species